AUUCCCGGAAGGAGUGGAGCCUGUCAUAUUGGUGAGGGUUUGCCUUGAAUGUCAUCCCAGUAUUUCAAUAUUGAUUAAUUAGUCUUCCCUCAUGGUCCCAACUGCAUAGUUUUUAUUUUGUUGAGUGUUCUGACACAUGGUAAGGGACAUGAAAGUAUCCUUUGAGAUAAUCUUUCCAUUCAUCAGUGUUUAUCUAGCAUCUGCUCAAGAGUGUGCUGCAGUGGAGGGAAAUCAGAUGACCUCCCAGUCUGGUUGUGUUACAUACAAUCAUGUGUAAGAAGUGCCAUUCAAGCCGUGUCACUGGAGGGGACUGACAGUGAGUGAGUGUGGAUAGAGAGGACCUCCUGGGGUGGGCAAUGUGAGCCCUCAGACUCUGUAGGUAUUGCAUUUUGCAGUGAACACUGGUAGACAUGUUUUGUGGCUCAAGCCAGCAUGUGUGUGAUGGUUUAGGAUUCAGUGACUUUUGAUGAUCUGGCUGUGGACUUCACCCCAGAAGAAUGGACUUUACUGGACCCAACUCAGAGAAACCUCUACAGAGAUGUGAUGCUGGAGAACUACAAGAAUUUGGCCACAGUAGGAUAUCAGCUCUUCAAACCCAGUCUGAUCUCUUGGCUGGAACAAGAAGAGUCUAGGACAGUGCAGAGAGGUGAUUUCCAAGCUUCAGAAUGGAAAGUGCAACUUAAAACCAAAGAGUUAGCCCUUCAGCAGGAUGUUUUGGGGGAGCCAACCUCCAGUGGGAUUCAAAUGAUAGGAAGCCACA
rnacentral:lncRNA from 1 species